CGAAAGUCCUUUAUGGGGACCUAAGACCGAUGUGCCUGGCUGGUGUACAUCUGGAAGGGUUGUGUAGUUCUACACUGCAGGUCUCAGACUGGGCAUCUCAAACCAUGUAAAGCUGUUGGCCAACAGGUUUAUAUUUACCCUGGGAGUCAAGGUGAGAUUCAUGACACUGUUGCUUAUUAAAGCUCUUGUUUUAAUGUGCUUGGCUUUUGCAAGUUAUGACACAGUAAAUACAUUUGUGUCACUUAGCAACCUCAGUUGUUUUUAAAGGAAUGUCUUUUGUUCUUGGAAAUAUAUUAUAAAUGCAGAUUACAAAACAAUUAUUGGGGAAUCUAAACUUGUCUUAUUUGGAUGGUGUGCUGGCCUCUCCCCAUUCUGCAUUUGAAGUGUGCACAGGAAAUUAAUUUACUUUGCACAAACAUCCUUCAUUGACACUAGUGUUAUGAAGAGAAGCUCUGCAUAUUUAACAAAUAUGACAGAAGUUUCUGUUGAAAAUAAAGGAUGUGAGAAACGCCUGGAGAAAGGACUGGAAAGGAACUCCUAGUCACUGGGUUCACCCAGUUCAAAGCUGUCUUACUGUUUUGUAAACAACACUAUAAAUACUUUAACACUGUGAUGCAACACUACACAGUCUCUAUCAUGAAUUUAUCAACCUGAUUCAUUUCUACACAUGCCAAAGUCUGAGAUCACAGAUCAUGCAGCUCCAACAAAAGGGUUUGAAAUAUAAACACCUGCAUAAAUGAAGUAAUAUUUAUAAUUUUCACAUUGACGUGGUUACAGGGUCUCCAUAACAGAUUAGAACACGUGCAUGAUCCUGAACACAGACAUGUAGUCAAAGGACUGAGAUUACUGGAUUGCAGACUUCAAAGGAUUUAAGGGUUUUCUUUGUCUUUAAUAGGUUUAAAGCUCAGAAAUCACAUCCAGUUGUCCAUGUUGCCAGGAUCAGUACAAAAGGUAAAAUAUAUAAGUUAACCUUUAUAUUCUGAAAUUAAAAUGUAUCCACAGGAAACACAAUAAAAUUAUGUCCUUUUUUCAGAUGGACACAUAAUUAAUAUAAUUAGUACUUGUUUAUGCAACUCAGAUUUUGUCCUCUGCUAGGAAUAUCUGAAAGACAAGUAUUACUAAAAGUAUCUUAAAGACUUUUUUAAACAUUUGAACAGAUAAAGUGAGAGUGCAAGUGAACAAUAAUCAUAAAAAGCCACUGUUCUCAACCGUAAUGUCUCACUAAUAGAAUUACUUAGAUGACAGGUUGCCAUGAGAAUUUUGGCAAUCCCAGUAGAGAAGCAGACCAUACACAGAAAUACAUCUGGAAAAUCAAAAAGAAGAAUAGCAUCAAUGGUCAUUAUUAAAUUUCUGCUCAGAAAAACACUGUCAGAGGUCAGAAAAUUUUUCUCAACAGUUUUGCAACUCCUUUUAUGCUUUUACUUUAGGAAGAACCUCCCCCUAUCCUCUGUGUUCUAUGCUUUGGGGUUUUGAAGAUUUUUUUAAUUGCAAUUACUGUGGUAAACUGCUAAAGUAAAAGCAGAGCUGCAGAGCUCAUCUCCAGCGGUAGAAGACCAAAUAUGAUAACCAGGCUGUGAUCCUCUUAAUUUAAAAGAGAAUACAGUGAGUAAGCUAUAGCUUACUCAGGACUUGGUCAAAUGACCAGAUACAACUGAUGAGGCCUUGGGUUCUUUGGGGCUGACCUGGCAGCCAACCCUGUCACUUACGCCCUCAAACUGCAUCAGGACACCUAUGACAGCCUCUUUAUUUCAAAAUGCACUGUUGAAGUUGUUCUCAUUUCUAAGGAGGGGCACUAGCAAACAGCUACCUGUUCACGAACUGCUGUAGUAUUCUACCAGGAACAUCCAAUAAUGGCUGUGGACAGUUUAGAUCUGCCCCUAGCAUGGAUUGGGGUUUAAUCCCAGAAAGGUGCUGACAGACUGAGAUCCAUUCCACAGAUAUGAUUACGACAUAAAUUCAUAUUGAGCUCUCUUUGGUACAGUUUUCCCACAUAAACAAAUCUUUGAGGGAGAACCACAGAUACAGGAUAUACUGUCUUCUCCAGCAUUUUAGCUUUUCUCUCAUCAUACAGUGAAAAGAGCAGAUAGUAGCAAAGUAAUGGCUGAGAUUCCCAAUUCCUCUAGGAGGAAUUAUAAUAAUCUGGAACACCCUUCUCCUGAAGGUCCACAAAUCUCAUUUUGUUCAGCUGGUAAAUCUAUUAAUCCUGAUCAGUAGUAUUCAGAGUAAACAUUUACAGUGCGUUUAGUCCUAAAACCCUCAGCAGAUACUCAGUCCACUAUCAACCAGUCAUCAUGAAAAUUUUGCAUUUAAAAAGAUCUGAGGACAUCAGGAUUCUGCUAAUGACUGCGCUCUGAGCUCCCUAUCUGUGGCAAUGAUCUGCACGAUCCUGCAAGCUCUUCCCAGCACUGCCGUUGGUUAGGGAUGCAAUGAAGCACGAUUUGCGAUUAUCAUUCCCGGGCUCAUGAAAGCCCCAGGUGUAGAUGUAAUCACAAGCAGCACUGAGCUUUUGCUGGUAUAGCUUAUUUUGCUUUUGUGGGAGAAGAAAAGGCUGGAAUAAGCUGUACUGGUUUAUUGCAGUCUUGCUUGUAUAGAAUACCA